rnacentral:rRNA from 1 species
GAUGAACGCUGGCGGUAUGCUUAACACAUGCAAGUCGAACGGUCACUCCGGUGAUAGUGGCGUACGGGGGAGUCACGCGUGAGAAGCUGUCUUCAGGUCGGGGACAACAGUUAGAAUUGACUGCUAAUACCGGACGUGCCCUUGGGUGAAAGAUUUAUUGCAUGAGAAAGAGCCCGUGUUAGAUUAGCUAGUAGGUGUUGGAAGAGACUACCUAGGCUCCGAUCUGUAGCUGGUAUGAGAGGACGGGCAGCCACACUGGCGCUGAGACACGGUCCAGACUCCUACGCAAGGCGGCAGUGGGGGAUUUACCGCAAUGGGGGAAGGCCUGACGGAGCAAUACCGCGAAAGCGACGAUGACUGUUAAGAAGAAAAGCUCUUUUCUCAAGGAAGAUGAUGACGGUACUUAAGGAAUAAGCAUCGGCUAACUCCGUG